AGUGAACGCUGGCGGUAGGCCUAACACAUGCAAGUCGAACGGCAGCACAGUAAGAGCUUGCUCUUACGGGUGGCGAGUGGCGGACGGGUGAGGAAUACAUCGGAAUCUACUUUUUCGUGGGGGAUAACGUAGGGAAACUUACGCUAAUACCGCAUACGACCUACGGGUGAAAGCAGGGGAUCUUCGGACCUUGCGCGAUUGAAUGAGCCGAUGUCGGAUUAGCUAGUUGGCGGGGCAAAGGCCCACCAAGGCGACGAUCCGUAGCUGGUCUGAGAGGAUGAUCAGCCACACUGGAACUGAGACACGGUCCAGACCCCUACGGGAGGCAGCAGUGGGGAAUAUUGGACAAUGGGCGCAAGCCUGAUCCAGCCAUACCGCGUGGGUGAAGAAGGCCUUCGGGUUGUAAAGCCCUUUUGUUGGGAAAGAAAAGCAGCAGGUUAAUACCCCGCUGUUCUGACGGUACCCAAAGAAUAAGCACCGGCUAACUUCGUG
rnacentral:rRNA from 1 species